AGAAGAACUCAUGAAGCAAGUGCAUUUUCGCAACAAUGGUGCAGCCCCCACUAAAUCAGCUUCUGUCUUGAAGGAGAAAAACGAGUUUGAAGUUGGGACAUGCAUGCUGAAUGUGAAGAAGAAAGGGCUACGGGUUUGAUGAGUUUGGGGUUGUAGUUUUGGUCAAGUUAGGAGCUCAAUUGCAGCAUGUUCAUCAUCCAAAGCUCCAUUGAUGCAAGGUGCAGUUUAGUAGCGUUUGGUCAGUAGCAGGUUUAGACUGAAGAUUUGGAAGUGGUGAUGGCUCGGAGACCUCUUCAGAUCUCAUCUUCCGCUGUGCAGAUCCAUUGAAGACACAUGUUCUGUAAUUCUUAUUAGGAUUUCAUGUUGUAUUUUAUUUGGAUCUUUCUAUAUCUAUAGCUUUUGUAUGUACUCAAUAUCAAUUUUAACGUUUCAUGCAUAAUAUACUAGUCAGUUAUGUAUGG